rnacentral:tRNA from 1 species
UGCAUCGGCCGGGAAUCGAACCCAGGCCGCCAGCAUGGCAGGCGAGCAUUCUACCACUGAACCACCGAUGG